GACGAACGCUAGCGGCGUGCCUAAUACAUGCAAGUAGGACGCGGUUGCGAACGGGUGAGUCACGCGUAGGUAACUGCCUAUUAGAGGGGGAUAACUAUUGGAAACGAUAGCUAAUACCGCAUACUAGUAGAUGGACCUGCGUUGUAUUCGCUAGUAGGUAGGGUAAUGGGCUACCUAGGCGACGAUACAUCGCCGACGUUAAGGGGUGACCCGCCACACUGUGGAUGCGAAACGGCCCAGACCCCUAAGGGAGGCAGCAGGAGGGAGGUUGUGGCAAUUGGGGGAAACCUGACCGAGCAACGCCGCGUGAGUGAAGAAGGGGUUUGGAGCGUAAAGCUCUGUUGUUAAGGAAGCGGUACCUAACCAGAAAGGGACGGCUAACUACGUGCCAGCAGCCGCGGUAAUAC
rnacentral:rRNA from 1 species